rnacentral:ribozyme from 1 species
AAAAGGGCUCAGAUUCUUGGUUCCUCUUGUGUUCUUCAAUCAUCAUUCACCAUUCAUCUAAAUUCCACUCAUUCCUCACUCUCUUCUCUCAUCAUUCCGUUUCAUUACAAUGAAGAGAAGUGAAACGGAAUGAAAGAGAAGAAUGAGUGGAAUGGUAGUGAAUGGUUCAUUUUCAAUUUAAUGAAAAGAAGUGUGAGCGAAGUGAAACACGAGCCAGAAAAUAAAUGUGAGUGAAUUGUGUGCUUUGUUCUUCUUGUUCCCUUUAUUCGGUUCACGCUCUUCAUUUCAUUACAAUUGUAACCGAAUAAAGAGGAACAAGAGAACAAAUAACACAACAAGAGACCCAAAACAACA